rnacentral:misc_RNA from 1 species
UACGGAGGGGGCUAGCGUUGUUCGGAAUUACUGGGCGUAAAGCGCACGUAGGCGGUGGCGCAUGUCAGAUGUGAAAGCCCCGGGCUUAACCUGGGAAUUGCAUUUGAAACUGCGUCGCUAGAGGCCGGAAGAGGGUAGUGGAAUUCCCAGUGUAGAGGUGAAAUUCGUAGAUAUUGGGAAGAACACCGGUGGCGAAGGCGGCUACCUGGUCCGGUUCUGACGCUGAGGUGCGAAAGCGUGGGGAGCAAACAGG